GUCUGAUGUGAAAGCCCCGGGCUCAACCUGGGAAGUGCAUUGGAAACUGGCAGACUUGAAUACGGGAGAGGGUAGUGGAAUUCCUAGUGUAGGAGUGAAAUCCGUAGAUAUUAGGAGGAACACCGGUGGCGAAGGCGGCUACCUGGWCCGAUAUUGACGCUGAGACGCGAAAGCGUGGGUAGCAAACAGGAUUAGAUACCCUGGUAGUCCACGCCGUAAACGAUG
rnacentral:rRNA from 1 species